rnacentral:rRNA from 1 species
UGGGGAAUCUUGGACAAUGGGCGCAAGCCUGAUCCAGCCAUGCCGCGUGAGUGAAGAAGGCCUUAGGGUUGUAAAGCUCUUUUGGCAGGGACGAUAAUGACGGUACCUGCAGAAUAAGCCCCGGCAAACUUCGUGCCAGCAGCCGCGGUAAUACGAAGGGGGCUAGCGUUGUUCGGAUUUACUGGGCGUAAAGCGCACGUAGGCGGAUUGUUAAGUCAGGGGUGAAAUCCCGGAGCUCAACUCCGGAACUGCCUUUGAUACUGGCAAUCUUGAGGCUGGAAGAGGUUGGUAGAAUUCCCAGUGUAGAGGUGAAAUCCGUAGAUAUUGGGAAGAAUACCAGUGGCGAAGGCGGCCAACUGGUCCAGAUCUGACGCUGAGGUGCGAAAGCGUGGGGAGCAAACA